UACGUAGGGUGCAAGCGUUGUCCGGAAUUAUUGGGCGUAAAGAGCUCGUAGGUGGCCUGUCGCGUCGGCUGUGAAAACUCGGGGCUCAACUCCGAGCUUGCAGUCGAUACGGGCAGGCUAGAGUUCGGCAGGGAGACUGGAAUUCCUGGUGUAGCGGUGAAAUGCGCAGAUAUCAGGAGGAACACCGGUGGCGAAGGCGGGUCUCUGGGCCGAUACUGACACUGAGGAGCGAAAGCGUGGGGAGCAAACGGG
rnacentral:rRNA from 1 species